rnacentral:rRNA from 1 species
GAGUUUGAUCUGGCUCAGAACGAACGCUGGCGGCAGGCUUAACACAUGCAAGUCGAGCGCCCCGCAAGGGGAGCGGCAGACGGGUGAGUAACGCGUGGGAACGUACCUUUUGCUACGGAAUAACUCAGGGAAACUUACGCUAAUACCGCAUACGACCUACGGGUGAAAGCAGGGGAUCUUCGGACCUUGCGCGAUUGAAUGAGCCGAUGCCCGAUUAGCUAGUUGGCGGGGUAAGAGCCCACCAAGGCGACGAUCGGUAGCUGGUCUGAGAGGAUGAUCAGCCACACUGGAACUGAGACACGGUCCAGACUCCUACGGGAGGCAGCAGUGGGGAAUAUUGGACAAUGGGCGCAAGCCUGAUCCAGCCAUACCGCGUGGGUGAAGAAGGCCUUCGGAUUGUAAAGCCCUUUUGUUGGGAAAGAAAAGCAUUCGGUUAAUACCCGAUUGUUCUGACGGUACCCAAAGAAUAAGCACCGGCUAACUUCGUGCCAGCAGCCGCGGUAAUACGAAGGGUGCAAGCGUUACUCGGAAUUACUGGGCGUAAAGCGUGCGUAGGUGGUUGUUUAAGUCUGUCGUGAAAGCCCUGGGCUCAACCUGGGAAUUGCGAUGGAAACUGGGCGACUAGAGUGUGGCAGAGGGUAGUGGAAUUCCUGGUGUAGCAGUGAAAUGCGUAGAGAUCAGGAGGAACAUCCGUGGCGAAAGCGACUGCCUGGGCCAACACUGACACUGAGGCACGAAAGCGUGGGGAGCAAACAGGGUUAGAUACCCUGGUAGUCCACGCCCUAAACGAUGCGAACUGGAUGUUGGGUGCAAUUUGGCACGCAGUAUCGAAGCUAACGCGUUAAGUUCGCCGGCCUGGGGGGAGUACGGUCGCAAGACUGAAACUCAAAGGGAAUUGACGGGGGCCCGCACAGCGGUGGAGUAUGUGGUUUUAAAUUCGAAUGCAACGCCGAGGGAACCUUACCUUGACU